UACGAAGGUGGCAAGCGUUACUCGGAAUUACUGGGCGUAAAGGGCGCGUAGGCGGCAAAUUAAGUCAGCUGUGAAAUCUCCGAGCUUAACUCGGAACUGUCAGCUGAUACUGAUCUGCUAGAGUGCGGAAGGGGCAAUCGGAAUUCUUGGUGUAGCGGUGAAAUGCGUAGAUAUCAAGAGGAACACCUGAGGUGAAGACGGGUUGCUGGGCCGACACUGACGCUGAGUGCGCGAAAGCCAGGGGAGCAAACGGG
rnacentral:rRNA from 1 species